GACGGAGGAUGCAAGUGUUAUCCGGAAUUACUGGGCGUAAAGCGUGCGCAGGCGGUUUUGUAAGCCAGAUGUGAAAUCCCCGGGCUCAACCUGGGAAUGGCAUUUGGGACUGCAAGGCUCGAGUGCGGCAGAGGAGACUGGAAUUCCUGGUGUAGCAGUGAAAUGCGUAGAUAUCAGGAGGAAUACCGAUGGCGAAGGCAGGUCUCUGGGCAGUAACUGACGCUGAGGAGCGAAAGCGUGGGGAGCGAACAGG
rnacentral:rRNA from 1 species